GGAGAGGUGGCAGAGUGGUUGAUCGCGCACGCUUGGAAAGCGUGUAUACUUUAACCGGUAUCGUGGGUUCAAAUCCCACCCUCUCCG
rnacentral:tRNA from 4 species